rnacentral:tRNA from 1 species
GAAGUUGUAGUUCAGCGGUAGAGCACUUGCCUAGCACAUAUGAGGUCCUGGGUUCAAUCCUCAGCACCUCA